UAUUUUGAGGAAAACAAAAAAAUUAGUCUCUAUACUCUCUCUAUCCUACUCAUUUUUCUUGUUUUUUGCUAACUUUCCGCUGUUCUCAAUUCAAGGCUUGCUGUUAUGUCUUUAUAUUUUUUUCACUUGGUUUUCAAAUGGAACCUGACUGACCAGUGCUAUCUUGCAUAUCUACUUUUGUUGCCUCAUCUGGAUUCUGAACAAGAAACAGAUACUGCCUUGAUUAUUUGAAAUUUAGUCACUUGAAACAAAGGAUAAUUUGGCCUCUGGUAAAAUUUACCAUUUAGUAUGAGGUUGGAUUUUGUUUGUUGUUGUUUUCAUUUAUACACACA
rnacentral:misc_RNA from 1 species